rnacentral:rRNA from 1 species
UUUUAUGGAGAGUUUGAUCCUGGCUCAGGACGAACGCUGGCGGCGUGCUUAACACAUGCAAGUCGAACGAGACGAUUUAGAAGCUUGCUUUUAUUGAGUCGAGUGGCAAACGGGUGAGUAACGCGUAGACAACCUGCCGCAAAGAUGGGGACAACAGUCCGAAAGGACUGCUAAUACCGAAUGUUGUGUCUUUUCCGCAUGGAAGGGACAUUAAAGAUGGCCUCUACUUGUAAGCUAUCGCUUUGCGAUGGGUCUGCGUCUGAUUAGCUAGUUGGCGGGGUAAGAGCCCACCAAGGCGACGAUCAGUAGCCGGUCUGAGAGGAUGAACGGCCACAUUGGAACUGAGACACGGUCCAGACUCCUACGGGAGGCAGCAGUGGGGAAUCUUCCGCAAUGGGCGCAAGCCUGACGGAGCAACGCCGCGUGAGUGAAGAAGGGUUUCGACUCGUAAAGCUCUGUUGUCGGGGACGAAUGUCAGGACUCAAAAUAUGGGUUCUGAAUGACGGUACCUGACGAGGAAGCCACGGCUAACUACGUGCCAGCAGCCGCGGUAAUACGUAGGUGGCGAGCGUUGUCCGGAAUUAUUGGGCGUAAAGGGAGCGCAGGCGGGAAGGUAAGUCUAUCUUAAAAGUGCGGGGCUCAACCCCGUGAGGGGAUGGAAACUAUCUUUCUUGAGUGCAGGAGAGGAAAGCGGAAUUCCUAGUGUAGCGGUGAAAUGCGUAGAUAUUAGGAGGAACACCAGUGGCGAAGGCGGCUUUCUGGACUGUAACUGACGCUGAGGCUCGAAAGCGUGGGGAGCGAACAGGAUUAGAUACCCUGGUAGUCCACGCCGUAAACGAUGAAUGCUAGGUGUAGGAGGUAUCAACCCCUCCUGUGCCGGAGUUAACGCAAUAAGCAUUCCGCCUGGGGAGUACGGCCGCAAGGCUGAAACUCAAAGGAAUUGACGGGGGCCCGCACAAGCGGUGGAGUAUGUGGUUUAAUUCGACGCAACGCGAAGAACCUUACCAGGGCUUGACAUUGAGU